GACGAACGCUGGCGGCGCGCCUAACACAUGCAAGUCGAACGAGCGAGAGAGAGCUUGCUUUCUCAAGCGAGUGGCGAACGGGUGAGUAACGCGUGAGGAACCUGCCUCAAAGAGGGGGACAACAGUUGGAAACGACUGCUAAUACCGCAUAAGCCCACAGGUCGGCAUCGACCAGAGGGAAAAGGAGCAAUCCGCUUUGAGAUGGCCUCGCGUCCGAUUAGCUAGUUGGUGAGGUAAUGGCCCACCAAGGCGACGAUCGGUAGCCGGACUGAGAGGUUGAACGGCCACAUUGGGACUGAGACACGGCCCAGACUCCUACGGGAGGCAGCAGUGGGGAAUAUUGCACAAUGGGGGAAACCCUGAUGCAGCGACGCCGCGUGGAGGAAGAAGGUCUUCGGAUUGUAAACUCCUGUUGUUGAGGAAGAUAAUGACGGUACU
rnacentral:rRNA from 1 species